rnacentral:misc_RNA from 1 species
AAAGUCGUAACAAGGUUUCCGUAGGUGAACCUGCGGAAGGAUCAUUACCUUUUGGUUGUAGAUUAUGGGCUACCAUGACUCUAUAGCUAAACCAACCCUUGAUUUGGAGUACCUCUUGUUUCCUUGGCAGGGCGACCUGCCGUAGGACCCAUUACACUCUCUUGCAAUUGAAGUCAGCGUCUGCCAAUUUGAAUUAUUACAACUUUCAACAACGGAUCUCUUGGUUCUG